AACGCGCACACUGUGCAGGCGCGCCAAACCGAUCCACCGUGCAGCACGAGAAGGGGAUGCGGGACGCGCGGGAGGAGGGCCGCUGGCCGCGUCGCUUCGCCGGGGCCGCGCGCCGGUCUCUUUCGCCAUCGGCACCGGACGAGUGCACACGUCGUGAUUAACCUAAUAUUUUUGUAUAACGCCAAUCGCCACACGUCGUAACUAUGAAACCUAUAACCUACAAUCUACGCCGAGCGGCGCGCAGCGGGCUAAGUGAGGACGGCGGCAACACGUGCAGCCAACGUGUCUCCGCGGACCACGCCGUACCACCACCACGAGUUCUACGAAGACGCAGACUACAACAGCAGGCGGCAUCAGACGGCGGAGGUCUAACCCGAGGGAAGUUGCUCGUUUCCUAUUAUUUCCUAUCCUUUUCCUAGUGUUUAUUUGUGUGAAUAGCCUAGCGGGCUUAGGUACUAUUCGUUAAUUAGCUUGCCUAUAUUCAAAAUGGUACAAAUUUUGC
rnacentral:lncRNA from 1 species